AGAGUUUGAUCAUGGCUCAGAUUGAACGCUGGCGGCAGGCCUAACACAUGCAAGUCGAACGGUAACAGGAAACAGCUUGCUGCUUUGCUGACGAGUGGCGGACGGGUGAGUAAUGUCUGGGAAACUGCCUGAUGGAGGGGGAUAACUACUGGAAACGGUAGCUAAUACCGCAUAACGUCGCAAGACCAAAGAGGGGGACCUUCGGGCCUCUUGCCAUCGGAUGUGCCCAGAUGGGAUUAGCUUGUUGGUGGGGUAACGGCUCACCAAGGCGACGAUCCCUAGCUGGUCUGAGAGGAUGACCAGCCACACUGGAACUGAGACACGGUCCAGACUCCUACGGGAGGCAGCAGUGGGGAAUAUUGCACAAUGGGCGCAAGCCUGAUGCAGCCAUGCCGCGUGUAUGAAGAAGGCCUUCGGGUUGUAAAGUACUUUCAGCGGGGAGGAAGGGAGUAAAGUUAAUACCUUUGCUCAUUGACGUUACCCGCAGAAGAAGCACCGGCUAACUCCGUGCCAGCAGCCGCGGUAAUACGGAGGGUGCAAGCGUUAAUCGGAAUUACUGGGCGUAAAGCGCACGCAGGCGGUUUGUUAAGUCAGAUGUGAAAUCCCCGGGCUCAACCUGGGAACUGCAUCUGAUACUGGCAAGCUUGAGUCUCGUAGAGGGGGGUAGAAUUCCAGGUGUAGCGGUGAAAUGCGUAGAGAUCUGGAGGAAUACCGGUGGCGAAGGCGGCCCCCUGGACGAAGACUGACGCUCAGGUGCGAAAGCGUGGGGAGCAAACAGGAUUAGAUACCCUGGUAGUCCACGCCGUAAACGAUGUCGACUUGGAGGUUGUGCCCUUGAGGCGUGGCUUCCGGAGCUAACGCGUUAAGUCGACCGCCUGGGGAGUACGGCCGCAAGGUUAAAACUCAAAUGAAUUGACGGGGGCCCGCACAAGCGGUGGAGCAUGUGGUUUAAUUCGAUGCAACGCGAAGAACCUUACCUGGUCUUGACAUCCACGGAAGUUUUCAGAGAUGAGAAUGUGCCUUCGGGAACCGUGAGACAGGUGCUGCAUGGCUGUCGUCAGCUCGUGUUGUGAAAUGUUGGGUUAAGUCCCGCAACGAGCGCAACCCUUAUCCUUUG
rnacentral:rRNA from 1 species